AGGAGUGUAGCUCAACUGGCAGAGCGUCGGUCUCCAAAACCGAAGGUUGUGGGUUCGAGUCCCCCCACUCCUGCCA
rnacentral:tRNA from 1 species